CCUCGGGUCUCCUCACGUUACCACCAGCAUAAAGCCGAUUCUACUGCAAGGCCAUGAGCAGUCCAUUAUACAGAUCACGUGCAACCGCGAGGGAGACCUUCACCGUGGCCAAGGACCCUACUGUCAAUGUAUGGUACUCCGUGAAUGGGGAGAGGCUGGGCACCUACAAUGGCUACACUGGAGCUGUGUAGUGUGUGGACGCAGAAUGGGACACCAAGCAUGUCCUGACGGGCUCAGUUGGCAACAGCUGUGGUCUCUGGGACUGUGAAACAGGGAAGCAGCUGGCUCUACUCAAAACCAACUCCGCUGUCCAUACCUGUGGCUUUGACUUUGGGGGUAACAUCAUUAUGUUCUCCAUGGACAAGCAGAUGGGCUAUCAGUGCUUUGUGAGCUUCUUCGAUCAAUGGGACCCAAGCCAGAUCGACAGCAAUGAGCCCUACAUGAAGAUCCCUUACAGUGAUUCCAAGAUCACUAGUGCUGUUUGGGGACCCUUAGGAGAAUGCAUCAUUGCAGGCCAUGAGAGCAGAGAGCUCAACCAGUUCAGUGCCAAGUCUGGAGAGGUGUUGGUGAAUAUUAAGGAGCACUCCUGGCAAAUCAAUGACAUCCAGUUAUCCAGAGAUAUGACCAUGUUUGUUAUUGCAUCCAAGGACAACACAUCUAUGCUCUUUGAUUCCACAACCCUUGAACACCAGAAGACUUUCCGGACAGAACAUCCUGUCAACUCAGCUGUCCUUUCUCCCAACUAUGAUCACGUGGUGCUAGGUGGUGGUCAAGAAGCGAUGGAUGUAACCACAACCUGUACCAGGAUUGGCAAGUUUGAAGCCAGGUUUUUCCACUUGGCCAUUGAAGAAAAAUUUGGAAGGGUCAAGGGUCACUUUGGACCUAUCAACAGUGUUGCCUUCCAUCCUGAUGGCAAGAGUUACAGCAGCGGUGGUGAAGAUGGCUACUUACGCGUUCACUACUUCGACCCACAGUACUUUGAGUUUGAAAUUGAAGCUCAAGGAACUGGAUCUCCAUCUGAGUUGCUCACAGAAGGUCAGAAUUCUCUCAUGGGUUCUACUGAGCUCAAAUCAAACUGUCGGCAACUCUGUGUUCCUUUUGAGGCUUUAGAGGAGAAUUGCCUCUAA